AUGACGGACUUCCAGAACCUCAAUACACAAACUGAAUGCCUAAAUAGAGCACACCUAAUUCUACUCCCCAAAACAGAACUAGCAAACACUCCCGACGCCUACCGCCCCAUCUCACUUCAAAACUGCCCUAUAAAAGCCGUUGCAAAGGUGCUCACUAAUAGGCUAAAACCAUUGAUCCCGCUGCUGGUUCAUGCUAACCAAACUGGGUUCAUCUCAGGCCGUAGCAUCGCAGAAAACUUUAUUUACGCUGCCGACCUCGUCCGUGCUUGCCACUCCAGAAAGGCUCCAACAAUGGUAAUCAAGUUGGAUUUUAGCAAAGCUUUCGACUCACUCUCCUGGGACUCCCUUAUAUCCAUACUAAACUGCCGUGGUUUCCCGCAAAAAUUCACCGCAUGGAUCCACGACCUUCUCUCCACCGGAAAAACUGCUGUUAUGCUCAAUGGGAUCCCCGGUAACUGGAUUAACUGCAAAAACGGCCUCCGACAGGGUGACCCCAUCUCACCCUACCUAUUCAUCAUCGUUGCUGAUCUUCUGCAGCAAAUGAUACAACAAGACUGCAAUCUAUCACACCUUAGCCACCCGCUUUUCUCACAUCUCCCGCCAACUGUCCUACAAUACGCUGAUGACACCCUAAUCAUCGCUAAAGCAUCAAAUGACGGCACCCAGCAGUUAAAAAACAUUCUACAGGACUUUGGUCGGGCAACCGGCCUCUCUAUCAACUUCACCAAAACAACAUUAGUGCCUAUGCAUGUCGCACCUAUACUGUCGGCAUCCAUUGCAUCUACCAUGCAAUGCACAACCUCCUCCUUCCCACGGAUCUAUUUAGGCCUACCCUUAGCACCCACUCACCUGCCUUCAAAUGCCUUCCUACCCAUCAUCGAAUGA
rnacentral:rRNA from 1 species